ACGUAGGGAGCAAGCGUUAUCCGGAUUUAUUGGGUGUAAAGGGUGCGUAGACGGGAAAGCAAGUUAGUUGUGAAAUCCCUCGGCUUAACUGAGGAACUGCAACUAAAACUACUUUUCUUGAGUGUUGGAGAGGAAAGUGGAAUUCCUAGUGUAGCGGUGAAAUGCGUAGAUAUUAGGAGGAACACCGGUGGCGAAGGCGACUUUCUGGACAAUAACUGACGUUGAGGCACGAAAGUGUGGGGAGCAAACAG
rnacentral:rRNA from 1 species